UCAUGGAUGUUUGUCUCUCUGACACACUGCUAUAACAAGGUAAUACCCAAUUAUUUUGGUCAGCACUGACAUAUAUGUCUUGACAGGGCCUGAUCCUGGUUUGUGAUUGGCUGUUAGCUUGUGUCAUCUCUUCUCCUAUUGGCUCCUUCUCCAUGUGAGGUCAGCAAACCUUAAUUUAACAGAGCCGGGUUAUGGGCUUCUGUUGUCAGUGUUCUGCAUCUUUCUGCAUCUUUGUUUCUGUCCUUACUUGGAAGGUGCGGUGAGUUUAUGUUGAGCCUGCUCUCUUAACCCCUUAGUGCACGUGUCUUAUGCCAUUACAUCACAAGCUUAGUCAUGGCCGAUCCACCUCCACGGAGAUUAAAGCUACGCAGUCCGGCCAUACAGCUCUGCAGGCACAGAUUAGACUAUCAUCGGCAGUCAGUCCUCUACAAGACGUGUGACUUGUGUAGUCCUCUCCUCCUUGCACACCCACACACUUUUCUGGACAUGGUUGUGGGCGUUUGAAUGGUUCACAGGAUCUCGCUGUGGAGCCCAAUGUGAAGAGUCUUCUCCAGGUGGGAUCAUUCUCAGGUACGGGCGGAUCAGGCGUCAGGUGAGCAGUGAGUGGCCGUUGUCGUGGUUUUCAUGAGUUCGACACCAUGGCGUGACUCCCGUAGUGGUGCCUUGCUCCCGGCCAGACAGAUGCGCGAGGGCUUGGCCACGGAGACUUUGCACGCCUUUCGGGGUAUUCUGGCCUCGGCCGCCGCGCACGACGAUUCCUCCAGACUCACCUCGGCAUGCGGACGCUUGAUGUCGAGUAUCCAUGCCCCUGGGCAGCGUAGCGCAUCGCCCGCCCUCCCCUUCUCCGGCAUGCUCCAGCUGGACAUUGUGCUCAAAAAGGGCAACAACCUGGCCGCACGAGACCGAGGAGGUGAGACACUGGGAAUGGAGGGAUUGAUAGUUAUUAUAGGAAGAGGGACAGGAGGGAUUGAUAGUUAUGAUAGGAUGAAGGUCUGGAGGUAUUGAUAGUUAUGAUAGGAUGAAGGCCUGGAGGGAUUGAUAUUUAUGAUAGGAUGAAUAUUCAAUGAGCAUAUGAUGGGUAUAUGAUGUUUAUAUGAUGGGCAUAUGAUGAGCAUAUGAUGGGUAUAUUAUGUUUAUAUGAUGAGCAUAUGAUGGGUGUAUGAUGAUUAUAUGAUAUGAUGAUGAUUGAGGUUGUCGGUGACUCUGGUCCAAAUCUGUCUUGGUUUGGUGUGGAUCUGGGCCAGAGAUAAUUCCUUUCUUCUAGGACC
rnacentral:lncRNA from 1 species